rnacentral:tRNA from 1 species
CCUGGUGGCUCAGAUGGUAAAGAAUCUGCCUGGAACGCAGGAGACCUGGGUUCAAUCCCUGCGUUGGGA